rnacentral:rRNA from 2 species
GGGUUGUGAGGUUAAGCGACUAAGCGUACACGGUGGAUGCCCUGGCAGUCAGAGGCGAUGAAGGACGUGCUAAUCUGCGAUAAGCGUCGGUAAGGUGAUAUGAACCGUUAUAACCGGCGAUUUCCGAAUGGGGAAACCCAGUGUGUUUCGACACACUAUCAUUAACUGAAUCCAUAGGUUAAUGAGGCGAACCGGGGGAACUGAAACAUCUAAGUACCCCGAGGAAAAGAAAUCAACCGAGAUUCCCCCAGUAGCGGCGAGCGAACGGGGAGCAGCCCAGAGCCUGAAUCAGUAUGUGUGUUAGUGGAAGCGUCUGGAAAGGCGCGCGAUACAGGGUGACAGCCCCGUACACAAAAAUGCACAUAUUGUGAGCUCGAUGAGUAGGGCGGGACACGUGGUAUCCUGUCUGAAUAUGGGGGGACCAUCCUCCAAGGCUAAAUACUCCUGACUGACCGAUAGUGAACCAGUACCGUGAGGGAAAGGCGAAAAGAACCCCGGCGAGGGGAGUGAAAAAGAACCUGAAACCGUGUACGUACAAGCAGUGGGAGCACGCUUAGGCGUGUGACUGCGUACCUUUUGUAUAAUGGGUCAGCGACUUAUAUUCUGUAGCAAGGUUAACCGAAUAGGGGAGCCGAAGGGAAACCGAGUCUUAACUGGGCGUUAAGUUGCAGGGUAUAGACCCGAAACCCGGUGAUCUAGCCAUGGGCAGGUUGAAGGUUGGGUAACACUAACUGGAGGACCGAACCGACUAAUGUUGAAAAAUUAGCGGAUGACUUGUGGCUGGGGGUGAAAGGCCAAUCAAACCGGGAGAUAGCUGGUUCUCCCCGAAAGCUAUUUAGGUAGCGCCUCGUGAAUUCAUCUCCGGGGGUAGAGCACUGUUUCGGCAAGGGGGUCAUCCCGACUUACCAACCCGAUGCAAACUGCGAAUACCGGAGAAUGUUAUCACGGGAGACACACGGCGGGUGCUAACGUCCGUCGUGAAGAGGGAAACAACCCAGACCGCCAGCUAAGGUCCCAAAGUCAUGGUUAAGUGGGAAACGAUGUGGGAAGGCCCAGACAGCCAGGAUGUUGGCUUAGAAGCAGCCAUCAUUUAAAGAAAGCGUAAUAGCUCACUGGUCGAGUCGGCCUGCGCGGAAGAUGUAACGGGGCUAAACCAUGCACCGAAGCUGCGGCAGCGACACUAUGUGUUGUUGGGUAGGGGAGCGUUCUGUAAGCCUGUGAAGGUGUGCUGUGAGGCAUGCUGGAGGUAUCAGAAGUGCGAAUGCUGACAUAAGUAACGAUAAAGCGGGUGAAAAGCCCGCUCGCCGGAAGACCAAGGGUUCCUGUCCAACGUUAAUCGGGGCAGGGUGAGUCGACCCCUAAGGCGAGGCCGAAAGGCGUAGUCGAUGGGAAACAGGUUAAUAUUCCUGUACUUGGUGUUACUGCGAAGGGGGGACGGAGAAGGCUAUGUUGGCCGGGCGACGGUUGUCCCGGUUUAAGCGUGUAGGCUGGUUUUCCAGGCAAAUCCGGAAAAUCAAGGCUGAGGCGUGAUGACGAGGCACUACGGUGCUGAAGCAACAAAUGCCCUGCUUCCAGGAAAAGCCUCUAAGCAUCAGGUAACAUCAAAUCGUACCCCAAACCGACACAGGUGGUCAGGUAGAGAAUACCAAGGCGCUUGAGAGAACUCGGGUGAAGGAACUAGGCAAAAUGGUGCCGUAACUUCGGGAGAAGGCACGCUGAUAUGUAGGUGAAGUCCCUCGCGGAUGGAGCUGAAAUCAGUCGAAGAUACCAGCUGGCUGCAACUGUUUAUUAAAAACACAGCACUGUGCAAACACGAAAGUGGACGUAUACGGUGUGACGCCUGCCCGGUGCCGGAAGGUUAAUUGAUGGGGUUAGCCGCAAGGCGAAGCUCUUGAUCGAAGCCCCGGUAAACGGCGGCCGUAACUAUAACGGUCCUAAGGUAGCGAAAUUCCUUGUCGGGUAAGUUCCGACCUGCACGAAUGGCGUAAUGAUGGCCAGGCUGUCUCCACCCGAGACUCAGUGAAAUUGAACUCGCUGUGAAGAUGCAGUGUACCCGCGGCAAGACGGAAAGACCCCGUGAACCUUUACUAUAGCUUGACACUGAACAUUGAGCCUUGAUGUGUAGGAUAGGUGGGAGGCUUUGAAGUGUGGACGCCAGUCUGCAUGGAGCCGACCUUGAAAUACCACCCUUUAAUGUUUGAUGUUCUAACGUUGACCCGUAAUCCGGGUUGCGGACAGUGUCUGGUGGGUAGUUUGACUGGGGCGGUCUCCUCCUAAAGAGUAACGGAGGAGCACGAAGGUUGGCUAAUCCUGGUCGGACAUCAGGAGGUUAGUGCAAUGGCAUAAGCCAGCUUGACUGCGAGCGUGACGGCGCGAGCAGGUGCGAAAGCAGGUCAUAGUGAUCCGGUGGUUCUGAAUGGAAGGGCCAUCGCUCAACGGAUAAAAGGUACUCCGGGGAUAACAGGCUGAUACCGCCCAAGAGUUCAUAUCGACGGCGGUGUUUGGCACCUCGAUGUCGGCUCAUCACAUCCUGGGGCUGAAGUAGGUCCCAAGGGUAUGGCUGUUCGCCAUUUAAAGUGGUACGCGAGCUGGGUUUAGAACGUCGUGAGACAGUUCGGUCCCUAUCUGCCGUGGGCGCUGGAGAACUGAGGGGGGCUGCUCCUAGUACGAGAGGACCGGAGUGGACGCAUCACUGGUGUUCGGGUUGUCAUGCCAAUGGCACUGCCCGGUAGCUAAAUGCGGAAGAGAUAAGUGCUGAAAGCAUCUAAGCACGAAACUUGCCCCGAGAUGAGUUCUCCCUGACUCCUUGAGAGUCCUGAAGGAACGUUGAAGACGACGACGUUGAUAGGCCGGGUGUGUAAGCGCAGCGAUGCGUUGAGCUAACCGGUACUAAUGAACCGUGAGGCUUAACCUUACAACGCCGAAGGUGUUU